UACGUAGGGUGCAAGCGUUAAUCGGAAUUACUGGGCGUAAAGCGUGCGCAGGCGGUUAUGCAAGACAGAUGUGAAAUCCCCGGGCUCAACCUGGGAACUGCAUUUGUGACUGCAUGGCUAGAGUACGGUAGAGGGGGAUGGAAUUCCGCGUGUAGCAGUGAAAUGCGUAGAUAUGCGGAGGAACACCGAUGGCGAAGGCAAUCCCCUGGACCUGUACUGACACUCAUGCACGAAAGCGUGGGGAGCAAACAGG
rnacentral:rRNA from 1 species